rnacentral:rRNA from 1 species
GAUGAACGCUAGCGAUAGGCUUAACACAUGCAAGUCGAGGGGCAGCAUGGUCUUAGCUUGCUAAGACUGAUGGCGACCGGCGCACGGGUGCGUAACGCGUAUGCAACUUGCCUCACAGAGGGGGAUAACCCGUCGAAAGACGGACUAAUACCGCGUACACUCUAUUUUGGGCAUCCAAGGUAGAGGAAAUGAAAUUCGCUGUGAGAUAGGCAUGCGUCCCAUUAGCUAGUUGGUGAGGUAACGGCUCACCAAGGCGACGAUGGGUAGGGGAACUGAGAGGUUGAACCCCCACACUGGUACUGAGACACGGACCAGACUCCUACGGGAGGCAGCAGUGAGGGAUAUUGGUCAAUGGGCGAGAGCCUGAACCAGCCAAGUCGCGUGAAGGAUGACUGUCUUAUGGAUUGUAGACUUCUUUUGUAGGGGAAUAAAGAGGGGCGAGUGUGCCCCAGUGAAUGUACCCUACGAAUAAGCAUCGGCUAACUCCGUG